UACGUAGGGUCCGAGCGUUGUCCGGAAUUAUUGGGCGUAAAGGGCUCGUAGGCGGUCUGUUGCGUCGGGAGUGAAAACUUACAGCUUAACUGUGAGCGUGCUUCCGAUACGGGCAGACUUGAGGUAUUCAGGGGAGAACGGAAUUCCUGGUGUAGCGGUGAAAUGCGCAGAUAUCAGGAGGAACACCGGUGGCGAAGGCGGGUCUCUGGGCUAUAACUGACGCUCAUGCACGAAAGCGUGGGGAGCAAACAGG
rnacentral:rRNA from 1 species